GGGGCCCUUAGCAGUAGCGCGGGGAAGGGGCGGUGUGUCCAGAAGCCCCUGCGCAAGGAGGGGCUUUGGCCAGGGUCGAUCGACGGUAAUGACGGUCGCUGUUUCUUCUUUCCCUCUCCCAGAGACCGUGCUGAGGACGUGGUUGUCUGUCCUUCCCCCGGGGAUGCCGUUGACUGCAGCCGUCUCAGGCUUGCGUGGCUUCUCUCUGCCCGGCGUUGCCAUCCUCGCAGCGCGGGGGCGAAAAGGGACACACAGAGCCCUUCCCGGCUGUGGACAGGAGCUGCCUCGGCUGAAGCUGGAGACGCCAACGAAAGGUAAAGCAGAAGAAACUGAAGGCGCUCUGGCUGCCAGCUGCCUUCCUGCCGCAGGCAAGAGAGAGCCUGUCCCUGCAGGUGAGGGAGGAAGGAUCCCCCUUCAUAGUCCGCAGCGGGCCAGGCCACCAACGUGCACCGCAGGGUCUGUACGCGUAACCGGGAGUUGGGUACGGGCGUGUAGUGCACGAGCGAGCUAGGCUAUGUGCCUAGGAAGCCUCAUCUCGUAAGAGCGGUAAGACACCCGUGUAUCCUCUUUAGGUGGAGAACGGCCUAGAGUCUGGAGCUGCAGAAGAGGCAGGGCGGAGAGGAGGGGAAAGAAGCAUCUGAACGGCUAAAUUGUGCCAGCAGCGCUGAGAGCGAGAGUCGCGCGGUGCCGUAAGGAAGGGAUGAGACGUUUUCCAGCACCAGCCAGAGCGUUCAGUGUUACGCGAAGAAUCUGUUCAAAAUGGUAUCGAUGUCUUCUCAGUGUCUCGUGAUGCUCAAGAGAUGCCCCCCGGCCCGGGUUUGCCUGCCGGUCGUUAAGCGUGGUGAAGGUAAGGGGCCAUCCCUCUGCCUGGGGGCUCCCGGCUCUGUCUCCAGCGGGUGCCCCGCAGGUGCGGCCGCGAGGGCUGCCUGGUGGGGAGAGUCGGGGCCCCCAGGGGCCGGGGCUGUUUGUCGCCCCGGGGAGCCCGUCCCAGCGCGGGAACAUGUCCGAGCAGAGCCCGAGAGAGACGUGACACCGUCCUCUGGCACGCUCCCGCUCCGCCGUGGGGCGGCCGCUAGCCUGCGGACAGGGGCUGGGGGGGCUGCAGCUGUUUGGGGGGCUGCCCCACCUUUUAGAUUUUAGCAGAGCUCCCCCUUUUCUGGGGGGUGGGGUGUG